UACAGAGGUCUCAAGCGUUGUUCGGAAUCACUGGGCGUAAAGGGUGCGUAGGCCGCACGGUAAGUCAGAGGUGAAAUCCCGGAGCUCAACUCCGGAAUGGCCUCCGAUACUGCCGUGCUCGAGGACUGGAGAGGAGUCUGGAAUUCACAGUGGAGCAGUGAAAAUGCGUAGAUAUUGUGAGGAACACUAGUGGCGAAGGCGAGACUCUGGACAGUUUCCUGACGCUGAGGCACGAAGGCCAGGGGGAGCAAAACGGGG
rnacentral:rRNA from 1 species